UUAAGCGACUAAGCGUACACGGUGGAUGCCCUGGCAGUCAGAGGCGAUGAAGGACGUGCUAAUCUGCGAUAAGCGUCGGUGAGGUGAUAUGAACCGUUAUAACCGGCGAUUUCCGAAUGGGGAAACCCAGUGUGUUUCGACACACUAUCAUUAACUGAAUCCAUAGGUUAAUGAGGCGAACCGGGGGAACUGAAACAUCUAAGUACCCCGAGGAAAAGAAAUCAACCGAGAUUCCCCCAGUAGCGGCGAGCGAACGGGGAGGAGCCCAGAGCCUGAAUCAGUGUGUGUGUUAGUGGAAGCGUCUGGAAAGGCGUGCGAUACAGGGUGACAGCCCCGUACACAAAAAUGCACAUAUUGUGAGCUCGAUGAGUAGGGCGGGACACGUGGUAUCCUGUCUGAAUAUGGGGGGACCAUCCUCCAAGGCUAAAUACUCCUGACUGACCGAUAGUGAACCAGUACCGUGAGGGAAAGGCGAAAAGAACCCCGGCGAGGGGAGUGAAAAAGAACCUGAAACCGUGUACGUACAAGCAGUGGGAGCCUCUUAAUGGGGUGACUGCGUACCUUUUGUAUAAUGGGUCAGCGACUUAUAUUCUGUAGCAAGGUUAACCGAAUAGGGGAGCCGAAGGGAAACCGAGUCUUAACUGGGCGUUAAGUUGCAGAGUAUAGACCCGAAACCCGGUGAUCUAGCCAUGGGCAGGUUGAAGGUUGGGUAACACUAACUGGAGGACCGAACCGACUAAUGUUGAAAAAUUAGCGGAUGACUUGUGGCUGGGGGUGAAAGGCCAAUCAAACCGGGAGAUAGCUGGUUCUCCCCGAAAGCUAUUUAGGUAGCGCCUCGUGAAUUCAUCUCCGGGGGUAGAGCACUGUUUCGGCAAGGGGGUCAUCCCGACUUACCAACCCGAUGCAAACUGCGAAUACCGGAGAAUGUUAUCACGGGAGACACACGGCGGGUGCUAACGUCCGUCGUGAAGAGGGAAACAACCCAGACCGCCAGCUAAGGUCCCAAAGUCAUGGUUAAGUGGGAAACGAUGUGGGAAGGCCCAGACAGCCAGGAUGUUGGCUUAGAAGCAGCCAUCAUUUAAAGAAAGCGUAAUAGCUCACUGGUCGAGUCGGCCUGCGCGGAAGAUGUAACGGGGCUAAACCAUGCACCGAAGCUGCGGCAGCGACACUAUGUGUUGUUGGGUAGGGGAGCGUUCUGUAAGCCUGUGAAGGUGGCCUGUGAGGGUUGCUGGAGGUAUCAGAAGUGCGAAUGCUGACAUAAGUAACGAUAAAGCGGGUGAAAAGCCCGCUCGCCGGAAGACCAAGGGUUCCUGUCCAACGUUAAUCGGGGCAGGGUGAGUCGACCCCUAAGGCGAGGCCGAAAGGCGUAGUCGAUGGGAAACAGGUUAAUAUUCCUGUACUUGGUGUUACUGCGAAGGGGGGACGGAGAAGGCUAUGUUGGCCGGGCGACGGUUGUCCCGGUUUAAGCGUGUAGGCUGGUUUUCCAGGCAAAUCCGGAAAACCAAGGCUGAGGCGUGAUGACGAGGCACUACGGUGCUGAAGCGACAAAUGCCCUGCUUCCAGGAAAAGCCUCUAAGCAUCAGGUAACAUCAAAUCGUACCCCAAACCGACACAGGUGGUCAGGUAGAGAAUACCAAGGCGCUUGAGAGAACUCGGGUGAAGGAACUAGGCAAAAUGGUGCCGUAACUUCGGGAGAAGGCACGCUGAUAUGUAGGUGAAGCGACUUGCUCGUGGAGCUGAAAUCAGUCGAAGAUACCAGCUGGCUGCAACUGUUUAUUAAAAACACAGCACUGUGCAAACACGAAAGUGGACGUAUACGGUGUGACGCCUGCCCGGUGCCGGAAGGUUAAUUGAUGGGGUUAGCGGUAACGCGAAGCUCUUGAUCGAAGCCCCGGUAAACGGCGGCCGUAACUAUAACGGUCCUAAGGUAGCGAAAUUCCUUGUCGGGUAAGUUCCGACCUGCACGAAUGGCGUAAUGAUGGCCAGGCUGUCUCCACCCGAGACUCAGUGAAAUUGAACUCGCUGUGAAGAUGCAGUGUACCCGCGGCAAGACGGAAAGACCCCGUGAACCUUUACUAUAGCUUGACACUGAACAUUGAGCCUUGAUGUGUAGGAUAGGUGGGAGGCUUUGAAGUGUGGACGCCAGUCUGCAUGGAGCCGACCUUGAAAUACCACCCUUUAAUGUUUGAUGUUCUAACGUUGGCCCGUAAUCCGGGUUGCGGACAGUGUCUGGUGGGUAGUUUGACUGGGGCGGUCUCCUCCUAAAGAGUAACGGAGGAGCACGAAGGUUGGCUAAUCCUGGUCGGACAUCAGGAGGUUAGUGCAAUGGCAUAAGCCAGCUUGACUGCGAGCGUGACGGCGCGAGCAGGUGCGAAAGCAGGUCAUAGUGAUCCGGUGGUUCUGAAUGGAAGGGCCAUCGCUCAACGGAUAAAAGGUACUCCGGGGAUAACAGGCUGAUACCGCCCAAGAGUUCAUAUCGACGGCGGUGUUUGGCACCUCGAUGUCGGCUCAUCACAUCCUGGGGCUGAAGUAGGUCCCAAGGGUAUGGCUGUUCGCCAUUUAAAGUGGUACGCGAGCUGGGUUUAGAACGUCGUGAGACAGUUCGGUCCCUAUCUGCCGUGGGCGCUGGAGAACUGAGGGGGGCUGCUCCUAGUACGAGAGGACCGGAGUGGACGCAUCACUGGUGUUCGGGUUGUCAUGCCAAUGGCACUGCCCGGUAGCUAAAUGCGGAAGAGAUAAGUGCUGAAAGCAUCUAAGCACGAAACUUGCCCCGAGAUGAGUUCUCCCUGACUCCUUGAGAGUCCUGAAGGAACGUUGAAGACGACGACGUUGAUAGGCCGGGUGUGUAAGCGCAGCGAUGCGUUGAGCUAACCGGUACUAAUGAACCGUGAGGCUUAACCUU
rnacentral:rRNA from 2 species